rnacentral:lncRNA from 1 species
CCAGACCUCAGGGUGAAGAUCGUGACUCAAUCCAGGCCAGGAUUAAUCCUGAUAUUUGUUGUUGUUGUUGUUGAGAAGGAAAGAUUUCUUUCCUUAGAUAUAAUUAAGCUGGUAGAAUGUAAGCCUAGAGCUACUGGGAAGAUUCUUGGCCAUUUUUUGGGUCCAUGAAAGCAGAGCUGAGAGAUAAAGAACAACAGAUCCCUAGUACUAUCAUCUGAUCACCUGGAUACAGCUGUGCCUGAAGCCAUCUGCUGGAUUUUCCCCUCCUCUGGAUGAUUUGAAUCUAGUUUCUGUCUUGCAAGCAAGAGUCUUCACUGACUUGUGUGACAUUAAUGCUCAGGUGCUUUAAAACCUAACAGACUGACUCAAAGUUAUAAAGACCAAGGAGGAAAAAGGCUAAACAAAUAAAAAACACUUUCUCACUUUCUUUCAGCUUAUAUUACAUGAAACAACUGCUUCUGAGUGUGCAAACAUGUCCAAAAACAAUCCCUUCACAUUACCACCACUUAUUAAUGACCUGGCUACCUACAUAAACAGCACUGUUCUUUGUGUCAGGAUCAGAUCCAUCCACAUAAAGUGUAUGUCGAUUCCACAAAAAUUUACCAAGCUCCAUUUCAGAUGCCUCUUUGAGAAAGCCGGAGUUGAUGAAACUAAGUAAAAUCCAGAUUUUCUCAGAAUGUAUAUCUUUACAAUCUAGUUUUUAAAAUGCUUUCACUGGUGCAUUAUAGUUGGGUUCAUUAUGACCUGUCACUCAUGCACGGGAUUUCAUUUGCUCCUUUUGGGUCCUCAGUGCCUCCUCUUUCCCUCUCCUCCUUCCUCUUGCUGAUCUCCUUCC